GGAUUAUGAGUUUAGUUAAAGUUCAUGCAUGAUCCAUAUAUAAGGGUUGAACACUCAUUGAUUCAUUAUACAUAACAAUUUGGAUGGUGUGAAUUGAAGAUGGCCAACAUGCAAAUUGUCCCAGCUUACAACAACAUUGUAGAGGCACAGUAUGUUGAAAUGAUGGUUCCAUUGUAUUCUUAUGGAUGUGAGAAGAAAAUAAAGAAAAACCUUCUCCAAUCUUAAAGGCAUAUACUCUGUGAACGUGGAUUACUAUGAACAGAAGGUGACUGUGUGGGGAAUUUGCAACAAAAAUGACGUGCUAGAAACCGUGAGAAGCAAGAGAAAAUAUGCAAGGUUUUGGAACCAAGAAGACAAUGUUGUAUUAGAGAAAUCACAAUCAUCCUCAUCUUCACCAUCACAGUUUCCUCCGAAAGAUUUCAAACCCUCUUUAGCUUUAACCAAGGUUCGCUCUCUCAGUUUGAAAGCAUGGAAGAAGAUCUUCACUAGAUCAUAUUCUUUCUGAAUUAUUAAGUCAUCUGUACAAGAAAGGAUAAAUAAGUGCUUCCAAAACAAAAUGAGUGUAAAUUUUCAAAUGGAAAUCUUAAGUUCCAUAUCUCCCUUGUAUUGUACAUAUAUUAUUGUCCAAGCAUUUCAGAUCUUUAAGCAUAUAUUCUUG
rnacentral:sRNA from 1 species